ACGAAGGGGAAUUUUGCGCAAUGGGGGAAACCCUGACGCAGCAACGCCGCGUGGAGGAUGAAAUCCCUUGGGAUGUAAACUCCUUUCGAUAGGGAAGAUAAUGACGGUACCUAUAGAAGAAGCCCCGGCUAACUUCGUGCCAGCAGCCGCGGUAAUACGAGGGGGGCAAGCGUUGUUCGGAAUUAUUGGGCGUAAAGGGUGCGUAGGCCGGUUUGACAAGUCAUCUGUGAAAUCUAUGGGCUCAACCCAUAGUCUGCAUAGGAAACUGUCGGGCUUGAGUAUUGGAGAGGUGAGUGGAAUUUCCGGGUGUAGCGGGUGAAAUG
rnacentral:rRNA from 1 species